rnacentral:tRNA from 1 species
GGGCCGGUAGAUCAGUUGGAAGAUCGCCUGCUUUGCAAGCAGGAGGUCGUGGGUUCAAAGGCUGCAUGGCUGAACAUCCCACCCGGUCCA